rnacentral:rRNA from 1 species
GGUCAAGUGAAUAAGGGCAUACGGUGGAUGCCUUGGCAGAGACAGGCGACGAAGGACGUGGAUACCUGCGAAAAGCCUCGGGGAGCUGGUAAUCGAGCUUUGAUCCGGGGAUAUCCGAAUGGGGCAACC